AUUGAAGUUGUAACUCGCUGUUGACAAAAGCUGUUCAAGUCUGGCUAAAGCUCUUGAAUCGGAUAACAGUCUGGAAGAGCUGAAUAUGAACAAUAAUAAUCUGCAGGAUUCAGGAGUAAAGCUACUCUGCAGUGGACUGAAGAGUGUAAAUUGGAGAUACUGAGAAACGAAUAUGCUUAAUUUGCAUCUCAUUUAGUUUGAAGAAUAAGGGGAGUUGAAGUUUACCAUAAUAAAUUCAUGA